rnacentral:lncRNA from 1 species
AAUGCCUUAUUCAUAGUAUUUGUCUACUUUCUGAUUGUUCUUCAUUUUCUUCUCUUCCCACAGAAAAAAAAUAUGACUUUAUCAGAUAAUUUCAGGACAAAUUAAGACAGUACAUAGGAAGGCUUGUAUUGGAGCUGUAAAAGCUGGACUUGAUCUUACAGUAUUCCAGACUGUUGCUUGUUUUAGCUAUGCCAUUUAACUUCGCUAUGAUAGGAAACAGAAGAAAAAACACAACUUGAGUCGUGAUCUCAGCUGGAAA